UCUUAUGUACAUGCUUACAACAUAGUGUUAAUGCAUCGAAUUCCAUUAUAACUCCACAGUUAAGUGUGUUCGGGCUACAAUAGUAAUGGGAUGGGUGACUGCCCAAGAAUUCGUAGUGUUUUAAAUGC
rnacentral:rRNA from 1 species